AUGGCCGCCCAUAAAACCCAGUGGUGGCGUGAGCUGAACGGCGCCGAUCCAUUUUCUUCCUCUUCGACAGGAGACAAGCCCAUUACCCCCCUUCCUGUUCCUCCCGCCGCUGCUAUCGUGCAAGAACUUGGUACCAGAGAGUGUGUGUGUGAGAGAGAGGAACGAUUCGUCGGUGCCAUGGCGCCGCCGAAGAGGCAGCUGGCCCUGACGGGCGCCGGCGCAGGCCGGGAGGAGGCGAAGCGCCUGCGCGUCGGGGUCGCCAAAGCCAACGCCGCCGGCUGGCGUGCGCCGACAUCGCCGGCCUCGCCGGGGACGCGGCUCAUGCGGCGGACCGUGCUCGUCGUGCUCUUUCUACUGCGAAUGAGCGACGGGAUCACGGUGACGGAAAGCAUCUCCCAGAUUGGUCGCAUGGUUCAGAGGAAGAUGGAAGGGAUUCAGAAGGUUCAGGCUCUUAUGAUGCGCAAAUUGGAAAAUUUAGAGGAGAAAGUGGAGAGCAUGAGCCAUGAAGUGAAGAAAUUGGCACGUUUGCAUUCCAAUAGACACGCCGAUAAAUACCCAAGAUCAGAACCAUAUCAGGAGGGUGCCACUUUGAGUGAACCGAAUGCCAACAUUCGCCUGCGUUUCCUGGAUGGCCUCAGGACUCCAAUUUACACAGACAAGAUUAUAACAUCUCAGAGCAAUGCGGCUAUCAGGGUUGGCGUCUUUGAUGGUGAAAAAAUGAUCAAUGAAGGCCCGCUUUCGAAGGCGAAAGUUGAGAUCCUGGUUCUCCGUGGCGACUUCUGCAGUGACGGUCAGGAGAGCUGGACUGAAGAGGAGUUCAACAGCCACAUAGCGCAAGGCCGGCACAGGCAAGGGUCAGUGCUGGGGGGCGAUUGCAGUGCGUGGUUGAACAAUGGGGAGGCAUCAUUGGGAAAAAUCCGCUUCAGAGAAGGAUCAUCCAGGACUCCCAGUAGGAAGUUCAUCGUCGGAGGAAGAGUGUGCAUGAACAGGAAGAUCGGUGGUAUUCGAGUCCAGGAAGCUGUCAUGGAGCCGGUCACUGUGCUGGAUCGUAGGAAUGAAGCAAAUGAGAAGAGACACCCUCCAAGAUUGGACGAUGAAGUCUAUCGCCUGGAAGAAAUCUCCAGAGAUGGAAUUUACCACAGGAGGCUUAAGAAUGUUCAUAUCUUCACAGUGGAGGACUUCUUGAAGGCUUUGAAUAAGGACGCAGACGUGCUCCGUGAAAUGGUCCUCGAGAUCAAGAAGCGCAGUAACGCUUGGGAAAGAAUGGUUAAGCAUGCCAGGGAAUGCUGCCUCGCAGACAGGCCUGAGCUCAAAGCAUAUCACAGUGUAGAGGGGAAUGUGGUGAUCUUCUUCAAUUGCGUGCAUGAUCUUGUUGGAGCAAUUUUUUAUGGUGUUUACGUUUCACGGGACAAUUUUGAUCCGGCUAAGAAGGCUCAAGCGUAUGAGUUGAAAGAGUGUGCGCGCGGUCAGUUGGACAUCCUUCCGUUUGACUAUGUGAUGAAUGGCAAUCUUCCUGAACAAGUUCCCUCUAGCACACAUUCUACUCUGGAUGCAGCAUUCAUUCUUGGGCCGGAUGUCGCGCUUCAACCAAAUGAAAACCAGUUGCAGGAUAGGAUCAACAAUAUCACUGAACCAUCUCACCAGAAUGAGUAUAUUCAUGGUGAUCAGAGCACAGUUAACACACAUUAUUUCCAAGGAGAAAGUAUUCUACCAGUUGGUCAGCAGCAACCUACAAUUUUCACUGGUGAAUUGCUACACUGGCCCUACGAAAGAUCAGGUCAAGUGAACAUCCAUAGCCAGAUGCAAGCUCCCAUGUCCAUGGAUGGCGGAGGUGUCAUACAGGCAUCAACGUCUGUUCAGCACAACCUUCUACCACAAUUAUUUGUUCCUACUCAAGUCCAAGAAAGCAUGCAUGCCAUCCAUUACUCUGAGAAUCCACCUAACCAUGCUGUUGGACCAUCGACAUGGCACGAUGAUAUUUAUCCCUGA
rnacentral:rRNA from 1 species